UUUUUUUUCUUUCUUCUUUUUCCUUCAUUUGGGCAAAUAAGGAAUUCUUGAAUCCUCUUCGUCCCAGAGCUAAAAGAGUCUUGCUUUGCCGAAAGAUAGUGGUUGAGGAUGCGGCCUACGACGGCAUAGCUGGGGGUUCUUGGUCCGAUGACCGAUGGCAACAAUGAUGUUGGAAUCAAAGAACAUAUGGGAAAAAAAAAUAAGGGAUUUACAAUCUAAUCUUUUAUAGAAAUUUUUGACAACAAGUAGCUGAAAUUCAAUCUUUAGAAACUAAAAUGAAUUGAGACGAAGAUGAUUCAAAUGAUUUACUUUACCUUUGGCAGAUUUUGGUGAUGAUUUU
rnacentral:lncRNA from 1 species